rnacentral:lncRNA from 1 species
CAAACCAGACUCGCCGACGAGAUCAACACCCGCACCACCGUCACCGUCCUCGUCCUCACCAACGGCGUCAUGUCCUCCCUCGCCGCCAAGCACCCCCUCUCCGUCAUCAAGAACGCCCUCAGCCUCCACAUCCUCCUCGACUACUACGACCCCGCCAAGCUCCACAAAAUCUCCGACGGCUCCGUCCUCACCACCACCCUCUACCAAACCACCGGCCACGCCCCCGGAAACCUCGGCUUCGUCAACAUCACCGAUCUUUCCGGCGGUAAAGUCGGCUUCGGCUCCGCCGCCCCCGGAUCCAAACUCGACUCUAGCUACACCAAAUCGG